UACAGAGGGGGCAAGCGUUGUUCGGAAUUACUGGGCGUAAAGGGCGCGUAGGCGGCCCGCUAAGUCGAACGUGAAAUCCCCGAGCUCAACUCGGGAACUGCGUCCGAUACUGGUGGGCUUGAAUCCGGGAGAGGGAUGCGGAAUUCCAGGUGUAGCGGUGAAAUGCGCAGAUAUCAGGAGGAACACCGGUGGCGAAGGCGGGUCUCUGGGCCGAUACUGACGCUGAGGAGCGAAAGCGUGGGGAGCGAACAGG
rnacentral:rRNA from 1 species